UCGAGAAUCUUUCGCAAUGGACGGAAGUCUGACGAAGCGACGCCGCGUGUGUGAUGAAGGCUCUAGGGUUGUAAAGCACUUUCGCUUGGGAAUAAGAGAAGGCGGUUAAUACCCGCCGGAUUUGAGCGUACCAGGUAAAGAAGCACCGGCUAACUCCGUGCCAGCAGCUGCGGUAAUACGGAGGGUGCUAGCGUUAAUCGGAUUUAUUGGGCGUAAAGGGCGUGUAGGCGGAAGAGUAAGUCAGUUGUCAAAUCUCGGGGCUCAACCCCGAAUCGGCAUCUGAUACUAUUUUUCUAGAGGGUAGAUGGAGAAAAGGGAAUUUCACGUGUAGCGGUGAAAUGCGUAGAUAUGUGGAAGAACACCAGUGGCGAAGGCGCUUUUCUAAUUUACACCUGACGCUAAGGCGCGAAAGCAAGGGGAGCAAACAGG
rnacentral:rRNA from 1 species